GUUCCAGUACAAUUUUCAGCAUGAAAAGUUGCCUACUUUUUGUUUUUCUCAUUUUUGCUUUGAUUGAUGGCAGAAUACGAAGAAGGGAUAACGAUUAUUGUCCGAUGAACUGUAAACCAAUCAUCGAUGUCAUCUGCGCUGAAGAUCAAGACUUUAAACUGUAUAUAUUCAACAAUUUAUGUUUAAUGUACAAAUACGCUUGUCACAAGGACAUUCGCCUGCGAGAAAUAGACAUGGAAGAAUGUUAUCAUCAUUAUAUCGAAGGCGGAACCUGGUCAAAUUAAUACUAACCUCAAAAAUGUGCUAUUUUUCUAGAAUUUGCUGAUAAAUAAAAAGAAAAACAUUAAAAACAGUUUUGCAACAUUAAAAUACAAAA